CCUACGGGGGGCUGCAGUGGGGAAUUUUUCGCAAUGGGGGCAACCCUGACGAAGCAAUGCCGCGUGAAUGAAGAAGGCCUUCGGGUUGUAAAGUUCUUUCGUGGAGGACGAAAAGGUGGGUGCUAAUAUCGCCUGCUGUUGACGUGAAUCCAAGAAGAAGCACCGGCUAACUCCGUGCCAGCAGCCGCUGUAAUACGGGGGGUGCAAGCGUUCAUCGGGAUCACUGGGCGUAACGGGUGCGUAGGCGGUGAAAGCGCCGGGCUCAACCUGGGAAUGGCGGUGGAAACCGGUGUACUAGAGUAUGGGAGAGGGUGGUGGAAUUCCAGGGGGAGCGGUGAAAUGCGUAGAGAUCUGGAGGAACAUCAGUGGCGAAGGCGGCCACCUGGCCCAAUACUGACGCUGAGGCACGAAAGCGUGGGGAGCAAACAGGAUUAGAUACCCGAGUAGUC
rnacentral:rRNA from 1 species